CUUGACUUCCUAUACUUUAUUUUUACUUUCACUUUAUGUAGAACACAGAAUCUACCCCAACUCUAGCAGACCUCCCCUAGGUGCCAAGGGCCUAAUUAUGGAGUAGGAGAAUCACUGAAAGCUGAGAAAGAGAAAGCUGAGACAUUCUGUUCUUUUUCCUUCCCAUAAUCUUUCAAGUUGUUCAAUUUCUUAUUACCUAACAACUUUCCAAGUGAGGAAGAGACUAUUGCAAUGGAUCCCCAGUUAGGAAAUAUGAUGAGGAAUAUCAUUGGCUUGUGGAUAAUAUCAUAUUUACUCUCUACAUUUCUCUUACUCACCAUGAGAGAAUAUCUUCAGAAAAGGAAAUUUUGGUGGUAUCUGAAUGGGAUCCUGACAGUGAUUUUGUCACUGGAAGUCGGUGUUUGUAUUUGUUUUUUGUGGACCCGGCACAGUUGCCAAGGGUUUAUUCUCAAUGAGGAUUGGAAGAACUGGCUUGCCUGGAGCCUCAUAUUGAUCUUCCUCACACUCUUAGGAACAAUAACUUUGAAAUUUAUGGCUUCAGGUUUUUUCUUCCUUGUUAUGAUAAUGAUGCUUUCAAUAAAUUUUGCUAAUAUUGAGAAUA